GACGAACGCUGGCGGCGUGCUUAACACAUGCAAGUCGAACGGAAAGGCCCUGCUUUUGUGGGGUGCUCGAGUGGCGAACGGGUGAGUAACACGUGAGUAACCUGCCCUUUACUUUGGGAUAACUUCAGGAAACUGGUGCUAAUACCUGAUAGGAGCUCCUGCUGCAUGGUGGGGGUUGGAAAGUUUCGGCGGUUGUGGAUGUACUCGCGGCUUAUCAGCUUGUUGGUGGGGUAGUGGCUUACCAAGGCUUUGACGGGUAGCCGGCCUGAGAGGGUGACCGGCGACAAUGGGACUGAGAGACGGCCCAGACUCGUACGGGAGGCAGCAGUGGAGAAUAUUGCACAAUGGGCGGAAGCCUGAGGCAGAGACGCCGCGUGCGGGAUGAAGGCCUUCGGGUUGGAAACCGCUUUAGCCUGUGACGAAGCGGGAGUGACGGUAAUGGGUAAAGAAGCACCGGCUAACUACGUG
rnacentral:rRNA from 1 species